GUACAAUGGUGGUGAAUAGAGAACGCUGUUCUUUAUGCUGUAGGCCAACAUAACACUGCAGACCAACACCAGGAACUAGCAGAAAAAUGGGAAGAAAGAGAGAGAGAGAGAGAGAGAGAGAGAGAGAGAGAGAGAGAGAGAGAGAGAGAGAGAGAGAGAGAGAGAGAGAGAGAGAGAGGAGA